rnacentral:lncRNA from 1 species
CCUCUCAGCCCCCGCGAGCGGUGGUUCUUUUCUCGCGGCGUCUCCGCUGCCGCCCAGCCCCGGGGUGUUGGGCGUUUCACCGACGGGUGCGGGAGGAGCGCAGCGGACGGAGCUCGGUGACUUUCAUGGGUCUGUGCACUGACUUCAGGCUGUACAGGUAAGAGGUCAGAGUCUGGACAAGUCACUGAAGAAGAUGCAGGCACAGUGAGAACUUCAGAAAAAUGAGCCAUGCAUCCUACUGAAAGCUGAGAAGUAGCCCUCUGUUAGGGUCAUGAACGUACGACAAGUCUUUGUGUCGCUACUGAUGUUUGGAGUAGCUGGUCUACUCCUCUUCAUGUAUCUGCAGGCC